UCGGGAAUAUUGCGCAAUGGGGGAAACCCUGACGCAGCAACGCCGCGUGGAGGAUGAAGGCCUUCGGGUCGUAAACUCCUGUCAGAUGGGACGAACGAGUUGUCGGCGAAAUACCGGCAGCCUUGACGGUACCAUCAGAGGAAGCCCCGGCUAACUCCGUGCCAGCAGCCGCGGUAAUACGGAGGGGGCAAGCGUUAUUCGGAAUUAUUGGGCGUAAAGGGCGCGUAGGCGGCCUGGCAAGUCAAAGGUGAAAUCCCUCGGCCCAACCGAGGAACUGCCUUUGAGACUGCCUGGCUCGAGGCCGGGAGAGGGUAGUGGAAUUCCCAGUGUAGCGGUGAAAUGCGUAGAUAUUGGGAGGAACACCAGUGGCGAAGGCGACUGCCUGGACCGGUUCUGACGCUGAGGCGCGAAAGCGUGGGGAGCAA
rnacentral:rRNA from 1 species